AUGGAUGCUCGCUUGAGAAACAAGCUUCUUAUUCAGGAACUCAUUCCACUCAUUCACAUGAAAACGAACAGCAUAUUGAAAAUUUUCUACCGUGGCUCUGCGUUCUUCAUGAUUUCCACGGUUUCUCUCGUGCCACCAAGACCAAAGAAGAGCAAUGGUAAGCAUCCUUUGUUCCUCUGGAAGUUGCAAAAUAGCAUAUACUACUCCCUUUGCGGAAAUUUGCUUGACAAUUUCACUCUCACCACUUCCAGCAUCAACGCUCGCCAUCUGUGUUUCACCCAUUUGCAUUUAAGAAAAAGAUGCCCUCCAUCUCCGAACAACCGGCCGCAAACAGCACACCGUGUAUCAAGCUCUACACCCCUUCUACUGAUAUUCAUAUACAUUGGGUGA
rnacentral:rRNA from 1 species